rnacentral:rRNA from 1 species
UACGGGGGGAGCAAGCGUUGUUCGGAUUUACUGGGCGUAAAGGGCGCGUAGGCGGCGUGACAAGUCACUUGUGAAAUCUCCGGGCUUAACUCGGAACGGUCAAGUGAUACUGUCGUGCUAGAGUACAGAAGGGGCAACUGGAAUUCUCGGUGUAGCAGUGAAAUGCGUAGAUAUCGUAAGGAAGACCAGUGGCGAAGGCGGGUCUCUGGACAGUUCCUGACGCUGAGGCACGAAGGUCAGGGGAGCAAACGGG